UCGCAAAACAUAGACACUCGAAUAACAAAAAAUGGUCGCAGCAAUACUUUAUACUAAGGCGUAUAUCCUGUUUAUGAUGGCGAUGUCAGCUCCGUCUAGAUUUGAGCCCGCACUAAAUGAUUAAGAGGAAACGUCUUAAUGAUGAACUUAUUAUAAUUGUCAUGUCAUUUUCCGAUAACAAUAGCCAUUAUUCUCUGUUAAUGACAAAUAAAAAAAAUUUCAAUCCUU